rnacentral:rRNA from 1 species
UACGGUAGGGUGCGAGCGUUAAUCGGAAUUACUGGGCGUAAAGCGUGCGUAGGCGGUUUCAUAAGCUUGAUGUGAAAGCCCCGGGCUCAACCUGGGAAUGGCAUUGAGACUGUGGAGCUAGAGUGCGGCAGGAGGGAGGUGGAAUUCCGACGUGUAGCAGUGAAAUGCGUAGAGAUGUGGAGGAACACCAAUGGCGAAGGCAGCUGCUGGCACGUAUCUGACGCUGAGACACGAAAGCGUGGGGAGCGAAACAGG